AUAGGGAAUUCCAGUGAGAGAUCUUAUGAAUGCUCUUGAAAGCUUUUGAAUGUCUACAAAAUUCAGAAUCAAUAUCUUCCAAAAUUCAAGAGAGUGUACCUCUUAAUUAUCUACAGGGUGAAGAGCUCAUUAAAGGAAAGUAUUCGGGGUCAAAUCUGCAUUGUUCUUCGCACAGAGCCUUCCUGCUGGAAGCACUUGCACACGGCAGAGCAGAGUGUCCAGUGCUGUUGAACUGCAGUAGAAAUGGUGUGCCAUUGACAUACACACAAGGAAGAGAACUCUAAAGGCAUGGUUGUGGCUUUAGACAUAGGUCUAAGCAAGGAGUGAUGCAGAAGCUGCACCCAGCCAGGAAGCACAGCUAUAGAAAGUACCA